rnacentral:rRNA from 1 species
UAACGAAGGGUGCAAGCGUUACUCGGAAUUACUGGGCGUAAGCGUGCGUAGGCGGUUGUUAAGUCCGCUGUGAAGCCCUGGCUCAACCUGGGAUUGCAGUGGAUACUGGCAGCUAGAGUGCGGUAGAGGAUGGUGGAAUUCCGGUGUAGCGGUGAAAUACGCAGAUAUCAGAGAACACCGUGGCGAAGGCGGCUCUCUGGAACGCAACUGACGCUGAGACGCGAAAGCGUGGGGAGCAAACAGG